rnacentral:rRNA from 2 species
UUAAGCGACUAAGCGUACACGGUGGAUGCCCUGGCAGUCAGAGGCGAUGAAGGACGUGCUAAUCUGCGAUAAGCGUCGGUAAGGUGAUAUGAACCGUUAUAACCGGCGAUUUCCGAAUGGGGAAACCCAGUGUGAUUCGUCACACUAUCAUUAACUGAAUCCAUAGGUUAAUGAGGCGAACCGGGGGAACUGAAACAUCUAAGUACCCCGAGGAAAAGAAAUCAACCGAGAUUCCCCCAGUAGCGGCGAGCGAACGGGGAGCAGCCCAGAGCCUGAAUCAGUGUGUGUGUUAGUGGAAGCGUCUGGAAAGGCGCGCGAUACAGGGUGACAGCCCCGUACACAAAAAUGCACAUGCUGUGAGCUCGAUGAGUAGGGCGGGACACGUGGUAUCCUGUCUGAAUAUGGGGGGACCAUCCUCCAAGGCUAAAUACUCCUGACUGACCGAUAGUGAACCAGUACCGUGAGGGAAAGGCGAAAAGAACCCCGGCGAGGGGAGUGAAAAAGAACCUGAAACCGUGUACGUACAAGCAGUGGGAGCACAGAGCAAUCUGUGUGACUGCGUACCUUUUGUAUAAUGGGUCAGCGACUUAUAUUCUGUAGCAAGGUUAACCGAAUAGGGGAGCCGAAGGGAAACCGAGUCUUAACUGGGCGUUAAGUUGCAGGGUAUAGACCCGAAACCCGGUGAUCUAGCCAUGGGCAGGUUGAAGGUUGGGUAACACUAACUGGAGGACCGAACCGACUAAUGUUGAAAAAUUAGCGGAUGACUUGUGGCUGGGGGUGAAAGGCCAAUCAAACCGGGAGAUAGCUGGUUCUCCCCGAAAGCUAUUUAGGUAGCGCCUCGUGAAUUCAUCUCCGGGGGUAGAGCACUGUUUCGGCAAGGGGGUCAUCCCGACUUACCAACCCGAUGCAAACUACGAAUACCGGAGAAUGUUAUCACGGGAGACACACGGCGGGUGCUAACGUCCGUCGUGAAGAGGGAAACAACCCAGACCGCCAGCUAAGGUCCCAAAGUCAUGGUUAAGUGGGAAACGAUGUGGGAAGGCCCAGACAGCCAGGAUGUUGGCUUAGAAGCAGCCAUCAUUUAAAGAAAGCGUAAUAGCUCACUGGUCGAGUCGGCCUGCGCGGAAGAUGUAACGGGGCUAAACCAUGCACCGAAGCUGCGGCAGCGACGCUUAUGCGUUGUUGGGUAGGGGAGCGUUCUGUAAGCCUGCGAAGGUGUGCUGUGAGGCAUGCUGGAGGUAUCAGAAGUGCGAAUGCUGACAUAAGUAACGAUAAAGCGGGUGAAAAGCCCGCUCGCCGGAAGACCAAGGGUUCCUGUCCAACGUUAAUCGGGGCAGGGUGAGUCGACCCCUAAGGCGAGGCCGAAAGGCGUAGUCGAUGGGAAACAGGUUAAUAUUCCUGUACUUGGUGUUACUGCGAAGGGGGGACGGAGAAGGCUAUGUUGGCCGGGCGACGGUUGUCCCGGUUUAAGCGUGUAGGCUGGUUUUCCAGGCAAAUCCGGAAAAUCAAGGCUGAGGCGUGAUGACGAGGCACUACGGUGCUGAAGCAACAAAUGCCCUGCUUCCAGGAAAAGCCUCUAAGCAUCAGGUAACAUCAAAUCGUACCCCAAACCGACACAGGUGGUCAGGUAGAGAAUACCAAGGCGCUUGAGAGAACUCGGGUGAAGGAACUAGGCAAAAUGGUGCCGUAACUUCGGGAGAAGGCACGCUGAUAUGUAGGUGAAGUCCCUCGCGGAUGGAGCUGAAAUCAGUCGAAGAUACCAGCUGGCUGCAACUGUUUAUUAAAAACACAGCACUGUGCAAACACGAAAGUGGACGUAUACGGUGUGACGCCUGCCCGGUGCCGGAAGGUUAAUUGAUGGGGUCAGCGCAAGCGAAGCUCUUGAUCGAAGCCCCGGUAAACGGCGGCCGUAACUAUAACGGUCCUAAGGUAGCGAAAUUCCUUGUCGGGUAAGUUCCGACCUGCACGAAUGGCGUAAUGAUGGCCAGGCUGUCUCCACCCGAGACUCAGUGAAAUUGAACUCGCUGUGAAGAUGCAGUGUACCCGCGGCAAGACGGAAAGACCCCGUGAACCUUUACUAUAGCUUGACACUGAACAUUGAGCCUUGAUGUGUAGGAUAGGUGGGAGGCUUUGAAGUGUGGACGCCAGUCUGCAUGGAGCCGACCUUGAAAUACCACCCUUUAAUGUUUGAUGUUCUAACGUGGACCCGUAAUCCGGGUUGCGGACAGUGUCUGGUGGGUAGUUUGACUGGGGCGGUCUCCUCCUAAAGAGUAACGGAGGAGCACGAAGGUUGGCUAAUCCUGGUCGGACAUCAGGAGGUUAGUGCAAUGGCAUAAGCCAGCUUGACUGCGAGCGUGACGGCGCGAGCAGGUGCGAAAGCAGGUCAUAGUGAUCCGGUGGUUCUGAAUGGAAGGGCCAUCGCUCAACGGAUAAAAGGUACUCCGGGGAUAACAGGCUGAUACCGCCCAAGAGUUCAUAUCGACGGCGGUGUUUGGCACCUCGAUGUCGGCUCAUCACAUCCUGGGGCUGAAGUAGGUCCCAAGGGUAUGGCUGUUCGCCAUUUAAAGUGGUACGCGAGCUGGGUUUAGAACGUCGUGAGACAGUUCGGUCCCUAUCUGCCGUGGGCGCUGGAGAAUUGAGGGGGGCUGCUCCUAGUACGAGAGGACCGGAGUGGACGCAUCACUGGUGUUCGGGUUGUCAUGCCAAUGGCACUGCCCGGUAGCUAAAUGCGGAAGAGAUAAGUGCUGAAAGCAUCUAAGCACGAAACUUGCCCCGAGAUGAGUUCUCCCUGACUCCUUGAGAGUCCUGAAGGAACGUUGAAGACGACGACGUUGAUAGGCCGGGUGUGUAAGCGCAGCGAUGCGUUGAGCUAACCGGUACUAAUGAACCGUGAGGCUUAACCUU